AUUUGUACUCUCAAGCUUUGCUUGGUGUUGGGUGCUUGUCCUUCCCACGGUGGUUGGACUCACCUUAAAUUCAUUGGCAGCCAAUGUACUGGUCUUGAAGCGCAGCACAAUUUGCGACUUCGGCUGGUAACAUUGGCCCCCAGUAAGCCUAUUUUAACACUUUUGACCUCGGAUCAAGUAGGGAUACCCGCUGAACUUAA
rnacentral:misc_RNA from 1 species